UACGUAGGGUGCAAGCGUUAUCCGGAAUUAUUGGGCGUAAAGAGCUCGUAGGCGGUUUGUCGCGUCUGCUGUGAAAACUGGGGGCUCAACCCCCAGCCUGCAGUGGGUACGGGCAGACUAGAGUGCGGUAGGGGAGAUUGGAAUUCCUGGUGUAGCGGUGGAGUGCGCAGAUAUCAGGAGGAACACCGAUGGCGAAGGCAGAUCUCUGGGCCGUAACUGACGCUGAGGAGCGAAAGCAUGGGGAGCGAACAGG
rnacentral:rRNA from 1 species